CAGGAUGCCACCAUGCCAUGCAUGACCCUUCCCGGCAUGAGCUGGUACAUUCCACUGCAGUCAGUGAGUUUUUGUUGCGUUUUCAAUGUUCGGAACCUGCCAAAGAAAAGUUGACGACGACGACGACGAAGAAAAAGAUCUGUGAUGAAGGCCUCUCGGUCCUGUGAAGGGAGCUGAGCUGACUAACAGGCUGUAAACACAGAAGCAGGCCACAGAGAUGUCUUUGAACAAAAGUGUGGCAUCCCUGUGGUAAGCAACCUGUCUAUGAAUACGGAGAAACUCUGAAGGAAAAGCAUUCUGUGAAGCAAGGUGUCCCCAGAGUUCAGGGACCGCCUCAGAAUCACAUUGCCUGUUAACAGUGCCACCUGGGCUCGGAAGCCUGCUCUUUCACGCCUCACCUGUGGCUGAUGGGUAAACACAGGUUCUAGAUCCUUACUGAAUGUUCUAGGGCAUAAGCCAAGAACAACAUCACAAUGGCAGAAAUCCGGGCUGAGCUUUCCUGGCAUUCACCACAUAUAACUGUGAGGCUUCUUACAGAAGGCAGAUAGAUGCCCAGUCACUGAGCUGUUGAAAUCGGAGCAUCUGCUGAGAUUAACCAUUUUCACUCUGGGAAACUAAUCAAGAAGGAUGGAAAACGUGUGAACUGGCAAUCCCUAGGUUUGAAAGGGGCAAGUGGGAAUGAAGAAAAGAAAGAGUGAGUGAACCAUAUGACCUGGUGUCUGGAGGAACCAGUGAGGCAGGGAGGCAGAAGAACCAUUGUUUGAGCUGAGGAUGCAAAUGGGACACUCAGUGAGGCCAUGCUCAGAGCAUUGGAAUGAAGGUCCCCGGAGCAGUUUGAGAUGAGCAUUUGGAGUCUUCAUAUGAGAGAGAAGAGAUUGUUCAUUCACUGGGACAGGUGGCACUCUUCGGGGAGAGGACAGGACUAGAGACCUAGUGUCCCUCUAGAGGCAAGACCUCUCUUACCUGAGUUCCGCCUUCUUCAUGUGCUACAGACCCAGCAGCAAGAACACCUGGGUCCUUCGGUCCCCCUAAAUCUCUGCGUAUGGCAGUGCCAGGCACAAGCACAAGCCCCCUUAAUGAGUGAGGAGGAUGGAGUUUGUAGCAGCUGCAGUUGGAGUUCGGCCUCUGAGACUGGCAGCAACCUGGCUCCAGGGGUGACGUUCCACUGUGCCCACUCCUGCUGGGGUUUGAUGUUGAGCGAACCGGGCUAGGGAAACCUGGCAUGUGGGUUUCUAAGUGCACGCUGAAUGCACGCUGAAUGCAGGCUGAAUGCACGCUGAAUGCAGGCUCUCCCUCAAGCCUUCUGAGGACCCUGACUGCCUGAGGUACCUCACAGCAGGAAGGCAAUGGUAGCGAGGAGCUGGGGAGGAAGACACUCUCCUCUGAGGAUGCUUCCCACCCCACCCCAGGAUGGAUCCCUGCAUGCCCCCAGGCUGCAGCAAGCCAUCCGCAUGGCAAGGGGGAGGCCUGUCUUUGUCUCUCCACGUGGGCUCAAGCUGUUUGCCCUGCCCAGGGGCACUGGAGACUUUCACACCUCUUUCCUCUGUGGCUGGGUACCUUCCACAUGUGGGACACAAGGGAGGCCUAAACCAUUUCCUCCUUUUACGACGCUGAUGGGUUUCAUAUGCCCACUCUGCGUGGGUCUGCGCUGCUGCCGGAGGAGCUGGCACACCCGUAGCCCAUCUGCAUGAGCUUAGAGAGAGCAGAGACCUGGAAGCCACACCACGGAGCUCUGCCUCUCCGCUCCCUGGCAGGAAAUGCCCUCUAGUGCAAGCUCUCAUCCAGUGGAGCGGUUAACUGGGAAGCAGGCAGCCACUUAAAGAGCCACCAUACCCCUGGGCAGAUGGUGUAAGCCCCUUAAGCCUCACUUUCCUUGACGGCAGUGGAGCCGACACCAGCAUGUGUUAUGAGGAUGGAUUGGGGUGAUCACGGAAGACCUUCCUUUGACAUCUCAGGGAAUGUCCCCCCGACUCUGCAGCUCUGAGGAUAGCCUGGAAUCCAUCACUCAAACUCAACAAACCCUUUGUAAGAAUAAAAGAAUCGCUCUCCUUCAGUAACGACAGGAUUACAUCAUCGAUCAACCACAUCCAGUGGAUAGAACUCGAGUCUGCGACUCCAGUCUGUGGGAAACUAGGGUUCAUUUACUUCAGAAAGAAGAAAGGAGGAGGAGGAGGAAGGGGAAGAUGUGAGAAGGGAGAAGAGCGAGAGAGAGCUUUAAAGCCUCACAGAUCUUGAGUGGCAAAGCCUGGCCCCUGGUCUCGUUCCCGCCCCACGCCUCAGUCUCUCCAUCUGUAAACUGGGGACAAGAUAGUCUCUUCCCCUCUGCUUGAGGAGCACUGGGAGAAGGGUGAGGUAAUGUCUCCAGGACUUCUGAGUGACUCAGAUGAAAGGCAACGCAGUAAGGACAAAGUUUCUCCAGCUACGCGUUAAAGCUCCCUAGUGUUGAAAGCACCUUUCACAUAAGCGUGCAGAAACAACUGUAAAAGGGAAUAAACACGUCCUUUGUCUC